rnacentral:lncRNA from 1 species
UCGCAGCCCUGCCUUUCAGCAUCCAUGGUGUCUGCCUUCCCCAUGUGGGUGACAAGGGGCUGGAGGGAGCAGAGAUGGACCUGGCAAGUCUGGCCACGCUCAGGGAGUGACCUCCAGUGCGUCAAGACUCAAGAGGCCAGGCAGUGGGCUGGGCUGAGGCUGGGGUGUUUCGAAGGCCUGGCUGGGAAGUCACGUUUGUGAGCUCCGUGAUGCUCCAGAUGGGGUGCAGGUGCUCCCCCACAUUAUAUCACCUGCUCUUCAUACCCUCGGACUUAAAGAUGGCACCUCUGAGAGCCUGACAGGGCAGGAAAACUCAGCCUGCUCACCGCUCCUGAACCGAGAUUCCAAGACGGCUUUCACAACCCUUGUGCCCUGGCCCCUCCCGUGUUACGGGUUGUCUGUGGGUUCUGCCCACCUCAGCCCCACUCCACACCACUAGGGUCUGAACAAACCAGAAGAGCCAAGCCCCCUCACUGGCAGCCCUUAUGCAGGGCCAAGGGGAGUGCUGUCCCCCGGGGGCAUCACCUGCCCUGGCCCCAUGCAGGCGGUCUUUCCGGCAGCUCCCAGGUCCUGUGACCCGGGCAGUGGACCACUGGGAAGGCCGAGCCCGUAGUGGAGCUUGCGUGAGGCUCCCUGUGUUCUGGAGACUUUCAGAGACUCGGCCAUCCUGUGCUCCCGGUGAAAUGAGGGAUCCUUUGCUCCCACUGUGAGCUGUUUUUUUCAGUGGCCUGACUAGCAGCGGCUUGCCCUUGGCAAAGCAAACAUUGGCAUAGAGGCCUUCAUCCAGUUCCAUCCAGGACACACUGAUGGAAUGGCGCCCCGCUCCACCCCCCAGCUCCCCUUCCCUUGGCUGUGGAGGGUGGAAUCCCGUUUAAACUGCCUGAGCCAAAAGGAGCAUUUGAGUCAUUUAUUUCGAUGACUGUGUGAAGAGGCCGUGGGCUGGGGUAUGCAAGGCCGCUGUGCCCAAUUUUGUCUUCAAACCAUCACUCUGAGGGAGCCCCUGGGAGAGCAGUGGAGACCUUGGAGAUGUGGGGAUUCAAUCCAGGCACCAUUCCCUGGGUCCAUGGAUCUGCAUGGCCAAUUAAAGGGAGCUGUUAUUGAAAAGGGCCAUCUCAGUGGGGGACAGACCACUAGGUUCUGUCCAUGUUCCCUCACCACCCCGGCAAGUGCUGUUGAUCAUUCUUUAUCGAUCGCCUCUUCUCUUCAUCACAUACCAUCGAAUGCCCACUGGCUGCUCGUCUCUGCUAUCUCCAAGUGUCUCCAGAACGCUCCGUGUCUUCCAGCAGAGCUGACCUGCCAUCUCUGUUGCUGCAGGUGA